GUACUCACUUCAGCAGUACCCAUUUGAAAGUUGGUACCCGACAGAGAAGAUUAGCAUGGCCCCCAGGUAAGGAUGAUAUGAACAGUCAUGAAGGGUUCCAUAUUUUC